CAGCAUCUACCAGCUGCUCCAACCAAACAGCAGACAAACACUGGAAGGACCAGGACAAUGUAACAUUGCUUCAGAUCAAAGCCAAGUGUGACCAGCUCAUUAUAAUAAACAGCAGGUAUGUUCCCAC